rnacentral:rRNA from 1 species
GACGGUGAAGUUAGGAAGAGCGCACGGAGGAUGCCUAGGCGCCAAGAGCCGAAGAAGGACGGGGCGAACACCGAAAUGCCACGGGGAGCUGUACGCGAGCAUGGAGCCGUGGAUGUCCGAAUGGGGGAACCCACUAGCGGGAAGCGCUAGUACCGUAUGCUGAACACAUAGGCAUAAGGGGGCAACCGAGGGAACUGAAACAUCUAAGUACCUCGAGGAAGAGAAAGCGAACGCGAUUCCGUAAGUAGUGGCGAGCGAAAGCGGAGGAGCCCAAACCGUAUGCGUGGUACAGACUGCAGUCGAUGCGUAUACGGGGUAGCGGGGCUGUUAGGGCGAGCUGCAGGUAGCCAGCGCGAGGCUGUGUUUAGGAGAACGGCAUGGGAAGGCCGGCCAGAGACGGUGAAAGCCCGGUAUUCGAAAGGCACAGAAGAGCGUGAAACAGACCCCAAGUACUGCGGGACACGAGGAAUCCCGUGGGAAUCCGGGAGGACCACCUCCUAAGGCUAAAUACUCCUUGGCGACCGAUAGCGGAUAGUACCGUGAGGGAAAGGUGAAAAGAACCGCGGGAGCGGAGUGAAAGAGAACCUGAAACCGUGUGCUUACAAGCAGUCGGAGCACAGAGAUGUGUGACGGCGUGCCUUUUGUAGAAUGAACCGGCGAGUGAUGAUGACAAGCGAGGUUAAGGCGAAGGAGCCGAAGCCGAAGCGAAAGCGAGUCUGAAGAGGGCGAGAUAGUUUGUUGUCAUCGACCCGAAACCGGGUGAUCUACCCCUGGUCAGGGUGAAGUGCGGGUAACACCGCAUGGAGGCCCGAACCCACUGGCGUUGAAAAGCCAGGGGAUGAACUGGGGGUAGGGGAGAAAUUCCAAUCGAACCCGGAGAUAGCUGGUUCUCCCCGAAAUAGCUUGAGGGCUAGCGUCAGGGGAUGAGUUGUGGAGGUAGAGCACUGAUUGGGUGCGGGGCCCGCGAGGGUUACCAAGCUCAGUCAAACUGCGAAUGCCACAAUGUCGAAGAACCUGGCAGUCAGACUACGAGUGAUAAGACCCGUGGUCAAGAGGGAAACAGCCCAGACCAACAGCUAAGGUCCCAAAGUACCGGUUCAGUGGGGAACGAUGUGGCGUUGCACAGACAACCAGGAUGUUGGCUUAGAAGCAGCCACCAUUGAAAGAGUGCGUAAUAGCUCACUGGUCGAGUGGCGCUGCGCGGAAAAUGUAACGGGGCUAAACCGGACACCGAAGCUCUGGAUGGAGACAUGGUAGGGGAGCGUUCCACUGGCGGAGAAGCAGAGCCGGGAGGCGAUGUGGAGCGAGUGGAAGUGAGAAUGCCGGUAUGAGUAGCGAAAAGAGGGGUGAGAAUCCCCUCCGCCGAAAGCCCAAGGGUUCCUGGGGAAGGCUCGUCCGCCCAGGGUAAGUCGGGACCUAAGGCGAGGCCGAGAGGCGUAGUCGAAGGAGAACAGGUUGAAAUUCCUGUACCACCGAGAGCGAUUGAGCGAAGGGGUGACGCAGGAGGAUGAGGGAAGCGGCCGGAUGGAAGAGGCCGUCCAAGCAGCGAGCGAGGGAUGUAGUCAAAUGCGCAUCCUGGGAAUCGUGAGCUGUGAAGGGGAGGGAAGAACAGUACCGAAGUCCCAGAGUUCACACUGCCGAGAAAAGCCUCUAGCGAUGCAGCAGGUGCCCGUACCGGAAACCGACACAGGUGGGCGCGUGGAGAACACGAAGGCGCGCGGGAGAACUCUCGUUAAGGAACUCGGCAAAAUGGCCCCGUAACUUCGGGAGAAGGGGCGCUCUGAGAAGAGCCGCAGUGAAAAGGCCCAAGCGACUGUUUAGCAAAAACACAGGUCUCUGCGAAGCCGAAAGGCGAAGUAUAGGGGCUGACGCCUGCCCGGUGCUGGAAGGUUAAGAGGAGGGCUUAGGGGGAACCCGAAGGCUCGAAUUGAAGCCCCAGUAAACGGCGGCCGUAACUAUAACGGUCCUAAGGUAGCGAAAUUCCUUGUCAGGUAAGUUCUGACCCGCACGAAAGGCGUAACGACUUGGGCGCUGUCUCAACGAGAGACCCGGUGAAAUUGUAAUACCUGUGAAGAUGCAGGUUACCCGCGGUUAGACGGAAAGACCCCGUGGAGCUUGACUGUAGCUUGAUAUGGGAUACGGGUACGUCAUGUACAGGAUAGGUGGGAGACGGAGAAGCUUGGGCGCCAGCCUGAGUGGAGUCGGCGUUGGGAUACCACCCUUGAGGUACUAGUAUUCUAACCUAUCACCCUGAAGCGGGUGAAGGGACAGUGUCAGGCGGACAGUUUGACUGGGGCGGUCGCCUCCCAAAAGGUAACGGAGGCGCCCAAAGGUUCCCUCAGCGCGGAUGGAAAUCGCGCGGUGCGUGUAAAGGCAAAAGGGAGCUUGACUGCGAGACGGACAGGUCGAGCAGGGACGAAAGUCGGGCUUAGUGACCCGGUGGCACCGAGUGGAAGGGCCAUCGCUCAACGGAUAAAAGCUACCCCGGGGAUAACAGGCUGAUCUCCCCCAAGAGUUCACAUCGACGGGGAGGUUUGGCACCUCGAUGUCGGCUCAUCGCAUCCUGGGGCUGAAGUCGGUCCCAAGGGUUGGGCUGUUCGCCCAUUAAAGCGGUACGCGAGCUGGGUUCAGAACGUCGUGAGACAGUUCGGUCCCUAUCUGCCGCGGGCGCAGGAUACGUGAGAGGGUUCGUCCUUAGUACGAGAGGACCGGGAUGAACCGACCGCUGGUGUACCAGUUGUUCCGCCAGGAGCACCGCUGGGUAGCCAAGUCGGGAAGGGAUAAGCGCUGAAAGCAUCUAAGCGCGAAGCCCGCCUCAAGAUAACGUAUCCCAUCUGGACAACAGAGUAAGACCCCUUGAAGAAGACAAGGUAGAUCGGUCUGGCGUGGAAGCGUAGUGAUACGUGGAGCGGACAGAUACGAAUCGGUCGAGGGCUUCACCCGCAAGCAAGGUCAUUUCAUAGCAGUCACAAGGUACAUAAGGAAUGGAAGCGGAGUUUGG